rnacentral:rRNA from 1 species
CUCUUAUAGUAAUAAUUAUAAGUACAAUCUGCUCAAUGAAAUUAAAUAGCCGCAGAAUUUUUACUGUGCUAAGGUAGCAUAAUCAUUUGUCUUUUAAUUAAAGACUAGUAUGAAAGAUUUAACAUUUUAAAUUCUUCUAUAUAAUCUAAAUAUUUUAAUUUAAUUUAAAUGUAAAAAAUCAUUUAUUUUAUAAAAAGACGACAAGACCCUAUCGAACUUUACUUUAGUUAAACUGGGGCAGUUAAUAAAUUUAAAUCUUAAUAUUACUUACAAUAUAAUUAGAUCCAAUAAAAUUGAUUAAAUGAUUAAGUUACCGUAGGGAUAACAGCGUAAUAAUAUAUUAGAGCUCUUAUUUAAUAUAAAGAUUGCGACCUCGAUGUUGAAUGAUAAAUCUAUUAAAUGCAACUAUUUAAAAAGAAGGUCUGUUCGACCUAUAAAUUAUCACA